rnacentral:rRNA from 1 species
CCUACGGGAGGCUGCAGUGAGGAAUAUUCGUCAAUGGGCGCGAGCCUGAACCAGUAACGCAGCGUGAAGGAUGACUGCCCUACGGGUUGUAAACUUCUUUUAUAAAGGAAUAAAGUGAGGCACGUGUGCCUUUUUGUAUGUACGUUAUGUACUUGGACCGGCUAACCCCGUGCCAGCAGCCGCGGUAAUACGGAGGAUCCGAGCGUUGUCCGGAUUUAUUGGGUUGAAAGGGAGCGUAGAUGGGUCGUUAAGUCAGUUGUGAAAGUCUGCGGCUCAACCGUAAAAUUGCAAUUGAUACUGGCAGUCUUGAGUGCAGAUGAGGUAGGCGGAAUUCGUGGUGUAGCGGUGAAAUGCUUAGAGAUCACGAAGAACACCGAUGGCGAAGGCAGCUUACUAAACUGCCACUGACAUUGAUGCUCGAAAGUGUGGGUAUCAAACAGGAUUAGAUACCCGAGUAGUC